UUAUUGCUUCGUGAUUACUUUGAAGUUACUCAGUGACAGUGUCAUCGGCGCGCACAAGAAUUCACAAACCUUAAAAAAGAAGAAUUUUAACCAGAAGCCAUCUCACAGAAGAGUAGUUAAGUCUUGAUACGAUUCCAGAAGAAUUUAACUUCAGAAAUUGUUGAAAUACGAUUGAGGUAAGUUUUACUUUCAAUACAAAUGCAUUAACAUUUUGUGCGAAAAUGAGAACUUGGUUUCAGGUCAGACUUGGAAAUGAAAACGCAAACAUGCGCGCACUUUAUGGCAAAGUUCAAGCCUUCUUUUAAAUGCGCACACAGUGCGCAAAUUUGGCAUUUUGCGCAAAAGAGUGCGACGAUUUAUUCUACUUACGGAUUAUUCGUCAAUAGUUUAGACGCGUCAUCCAGACAGCCCAGCCAUAGUGGCGAGAUUGACAUAGUUUUGAGGAAAAAAAUCAUGCUUGAUUUUGAUCUUUUUUUUGCUAGUGCCUGGUAGAUCUCAUCUAGUUGCGUAUUGAUUCACAUGAACAAAGUACGCAUGCAACUUCGUUUCAGUUGAAAGCUGCGCUACGCAGAAAGUUUGUGACUUUGUGGUGUUUAUACAAUAUAUACACGAUCAAGUACAGUCUCAGUUACGGAAGCUGCCUCUAAACGACUAGUCUAGUAUAUUAAUUCGGGCCUGAAAUGCAAAACGCAAGAACGUUUCGCUCCUCAGAAGGGAUCGGAUCACACAAUGCGGUGUACUAAAGCUACAAGCUUAGUAAAAAACCCCAAACUUUAUUCAAACAGAGCUACUGCCAAUACUGCUACCAUAGUAUGCAAAAUUAAAUUUACAGAGAAACUAUAGAUUGAAAAUUAGAAUUAUACUGUAUGUAUAUAAAGCAAUAGGAAGCUACCUACCAAUGUUCACACGGUUUGUCUUUCAUUGCAAUAACAUACAUAAACAAGUCAUAUUGUUAAAAGAACGACACGAGUGAUUUAUUUGGUUAAGCGUACAGAUAAAAUCCGCACUGAUAUCAUUAACCUUUGUAUUAUUGCAGCGCAUUUAAUAAAUAGUGCUUUUCGCUUCCGACCUCAUUAAAAUAUAUAUGGAAAUGUUGACAAAUUGGUUUAUUGUAUGGAAAAUUGCUAUCUAAUAUCGACCAGUUUCAACAGGUAAUCUGUGAGCUGAUAAGAUAACUUGGUUUUAGUUUAUCCAAAGCUUUCCGGCUGAUGACUUGAUUACAAGUUAUUAAUAAAGUAUUAGGGAGUUUAAGCUUCACGGCCGGCAACGGCAAACGGCAGGUUCGAACUUUCUUGGCAAAAUUUUCGGCAAACGUUUUCGUUUCAUCUUUUCUUUCUUGCGUCAAAAGAAUAAUCAUGCAUUGCAUUUUUAAAACAGCAAGUUUACUUACUCUUUUUUGCCUGAAACCGUAACUGAAUUUUUCUUUGCCUGGCGUUUGCCGUUUGACGUAUAACGCAAAGUUUAAACUCUCUAAUAAUACAAAACAAACUUAAUAGAACAAUGUAAUAUACCGGGUGAUAAAGUAAAAAUCAAAUUCCGAAAAGACAAGACAUCUUCAGAAUACAAUAUAUAAUUCAAAACAAGAAGCAGGUUGAGUCCCUGAGUCUUGUUUUGAAUCAUAUAUUGUAUUCUCAAGAUGUGUUGUCUUUUCGGAAUUUGUUUUUUACUUUACUUUUUUAAAUUGUCGGCUGGUCAUGGUUUUUGGACUAAUACCGGACAGUGUCCCAGCAGAUUUGGACCCCCCCUCAAAAUGGACCCCCCCGGUCCAAAUCCGCUAGCGAAUAUGGAGCGGGGAGUCCAUAUCCGCUAGCGAAUAUGGACCUAUGGGGGUCUUUAUUCGCUAGCGGAUUUGGACUCCCCUUGCGAAUUUGGACCCCUCGCGUAUUUUAUCAUUGCAACGUAUUGUAUUUUGAAUAUUGUACUGAAAGCGUUUUAAAUCGUCACUGAACUCUAAUCUGAUUUAUUUCAAAAACCGUACGAAGAUUCUUAGAUUAAAAAAUUCCAUCAAAUCAUAGAUUUUUAGAUUAAAGAAUUCCUCAAAGUUGAUGAUUUAUAUAUAAUUUUUCUGCUACAUGGGUUUAUUUCUAUGAUCUUGGAAUGUGCGAGAAGCGCAUGAAGGCCUUCACAAGUAUUUUACUCCUUGGAAUUGCUAUCUACUCUGAUACUUUUUGUGAAUUUUAGGGGGUCCAAUUCCGCGGAAGGGGUACAUAUCAGCUAGCGGAUAUGUACUGUAGGGGUCCGAAUCCGCUAGCGGAUUUGGACCGGGGGGUCCAUAUCCGCGGGGAGUCCAAAUCCGCUGUGACACCGGGUGAUGGUUCAACUUUUUGAGCAAUAAAACUCAAGUGUCAAAAUCUCUAAUCCGUCUGAGGCGUGCGGUUACGAAAUGCGAUAUCUUAUGACGUCUGACAACCAAAGGCUUUUCUGGAAACCUUGAAUGCCCAAUGAAACAUGUUGGCACACAAACGCUCAGUUGUGUAAUCGCCGUAAAAGGUACCGGUAAUUAAAAAUUGAAAAACAAAUAAAGCUUGAAAUGUGAUGCGCAAUAGCAUAACCCGCUGGGACUAAUUGGCAUAAUGACCGUCAACAUUUACGGAGAAUAUUCAUGAAGCCUAUCCUAGUUCCUGAUUUGGAAUUUAUAAAUGACAUAGAAAGAACCAGAGAACACGAUUAAUAAUCAAAUAAAUAUGCUUGACUGUUAGCGAAUUAUGAUGAUAAUAAUAAUAAUGGUCUUCUCCAGACGUAAGAGUUUUAUGUAAAUUAAUAAAACUCAUUAAUAAUUCAUGAAGAAAAUUCAAAAGAAGUGAAUGUUUAAUCAAUGUUUGUAAAUCGCAUAAAGAUUUUUCUGAUAUACAUAAACUUCAGCUUUGAUUUUCUCGGCUUAGACAAUGUUUAUUUUUAAAAUUACUUCGCUAAUGAACUCAUAAGAUGGGUCGUUUUAUAAGCAUAUACAAACUCUCGCCUUCGGCUCGAGUUUUUAUAUCGGAUAAAGAUCGACUGCUCAUGUUUUAUCUAGUACAUAAACUCUACUACUAGCAAUGUUCUAGUCAGCACUUACAAAAGGUAACAUAAAUACAUAAUGACUUAUGUCUAAUAAGAUAUCCAAAGAUCUAGCGGUUGAAGAGACAUCUGUUAAUAAAUACUCUUUUAAGUCUCUGAGUUUUAACUUUGAGGAGCAUACAAUUAUUAGCCUCCGCAAUUCAAUUUGAGAAAUUAAUUUCUUAACACACAUUAGGCUGUGACUGCGGACUAAUUCAGGAUCUAUUUAUUGUCUUGUGACUUCUCGCGGGCUACGUUUUUAAACCGUUGUGUACCAUCAUAGCAUCACAGCCUCUGCCUGCCCUACUGCAAAACUAUGUAAAUGACGGCUGGAAAAAUCGUCUAGUGUUUAUAGAGACACUGAAAUGACAAAGUAAGGCGCAUUGCAUUUGGAGGCAACGGGGAUUAACCAAUGGGGGAUUAACAACAUGCAUGGGCAAAUAGACAGAUUAACGCGUUUUAAUAGUAUCAGCACUCUUUUUGGUGUUUGGUGAAAAAUGUGGAUUGCGGACUACGGAUUGCGGAUAGAGUGAAAAAUGCGGGCUGCGGAUAAAGGAUUGUGGGUAGAGUAGAAAAUGCGGAUUGCGGAACGAACUUGCAAAACUGUAAAGUGAUAAACGACUUUUGACUGUGGUGUAUAUAUAACUACCUGAAUAUAUAACUACUUUUUUACUUUCGUGUUUCACUGUUGUGGCCCGUAUAUACUGUUAUAACCAUUGCAAAUGAAUGCAUAUAUAGUUAAAGAAGUUAUGUUCUCAUUGUAAAUUUUACUUAAUAACUUUGUUAAGGUGAUUAAAGAUGACAUCAAUAAGAAUAUUAAUACUGUUCCUUUGCUUGACCAGUACACAAGGU